ensembl:lncRNA
AGCCCUCACCUUGCAACGUAGCCACGAAGAAAGGACCUUCGUUAUCCACCCCAACACCUGAGGCCUCCCCCGAGACAUCCACCUCUUCACCCGAGGCCUCUGUCCAGCCAUCCACCCCAACACCCGAGGCCUCUGUCCAGCCAUCCACCCCAGCCACACCUGAGGCCUCCCCCGAGACAUCCACCUCUUCACCCGAGGCCUCUGUCCAGCCACCCACCCCAACACAUGAGGCCUCCCCCGAGACAUCCACCCCAGCCACACCUGAGGCCUCCCCCGAAACAUCCACCUCUUCACCCGAGGCCUCUGUCCAGCCAUCCACCUCUUCACCCGAGGCCUCUGUCCAGCCAUCCACCCCAACACCCGAGGCCUCUGUCCAGCCAUCCACCCCAGCCACACCUGAGGCCUCCCCCGAAACAUCCACCUCUUCACCCGAGGCCUCUGUCCAGCCAUCCACCUCUUCACCCGAGGCCUCUGUCCAGCCACCCACCCAAACACAUGAGGCCUCCCCCGAGACAUCCACCUCAGUUUCUCCGCUCCCCAGUGUACCGGCUCUGUCCACCCCUCCAGCCGCCAUGAGGCUGGCAUCUCCUCUGUCCCGCAGGGGCCGGAAGAAAAGGCAGAGGGCGCAGAGGGGGAAGCACGACAGGCAGAGAGGGCAGGACGACGGGCAGAUGAUCCGGCAGGAAGGGCGCAGGCUGGACGGGCAGAAGAAGAAGAUGGUGUUCAGGGAUGAGUAUUCUAGAUUUGGUGAGCUGGUGGCUGCUAUGAUGAGCAGGGUGCAGGAAGAUAAGAGGGCCGAAGCAAUGCACUCUGUGUACAGCCUGUUGGACAGAAGCAAUGCACUCUGGGUACAGCCUGUUGGACUGAAGCAAUGCACUCUGGGUACAGCCUGUUGGACUGAAGCAAUGCACUCUGGGUACAGCCUGUUGGACUGAAGCAAUGCAGACUGUGUACAGUGUGACGACCCCUCCACGCCACUAGGGGUCUUUUCCCUCUUGCUGGCUCUUUUCCAGGUUUCCUGUUUGGAGUGGUGGGUCAUCAGCCCGGUUUGGCUCUGUGGCCGGUGUGGCUCUGUGGCCUAUAUCAGCACUCCUUCUCCAGUUCCCGGGAGAGAUCCCUUCCCCGUUGCAGACGGCUGCGUUUUGACUGUUGUUAUUCUUAUUUCAUUAUCUUUGUAAUAAAUGAUUGUUACUUCGUUCAUCCCUCGUCCGUCUCCCAUUUUAGUUGACACAGCUUAUGAGUCAGGCUGUGUCACAACAGCAUGUUGUACUGAAUCAAUGCACACAGUGUACAGCAUGUUGAACGAAUACAACUUUUCUUCUUUUGCGUAGUAUUGAAAAUAAAACACCAAUCAGGUUUUGAA